rnacentral:rRNA from 1 species
UACAGAGGUCUCAAGCGUUGUUCGGAUUCAUUGGGCGUAAAGGGUGCGUAGGCGGCGCGGUAAGUCGGGUGUGAAUCUCGGGGCUUAACUCCGAAACUGCAUUCGAUACUGCCGUGCUUGAGGACUGGAGAGGAGACUGGAAUUUACGGUGUAGCGGUGAAAUGCGUAGAUAUCGUAAGGAAGACCAGUGGCGAAGGCGGGUCUCUGGACAGUUCCUGACGCUGAGGCACGAAGGCCAGGGGAGCAAACGGG